rnacentral:rRNA from 1 species
GGAAAAGAAACUAACAAGGAUUCCCCCAGUAACGGCGAGUGAAGCGGGAAGAGCUCAAGCUUAAAAUCUCCAUACUUGUAUGGCGAAUUGUAGUCUAUUGAGGCUGUUGUCAGCAUCGCGAUUGGGGACAAGUCCCUUGGAAAAGGGCAGCAUAGAGGGUGAUACUCCCGUCUCUGCUCCAAUCUGCGGUGUGUACGAUACGCUUUCUUUGAGUCGAGUUGUUUGGGAAUACAGCUCAAAGUAGGUGGUAAAUUCCAUCUAAAGCUAAAUAUUGGUGCGAGACCGAUAGCGAACAAGUACCGUGAGGGAAAGAUGAAAAGAACUUUGAAAAGAGAGUUAAAGAGUACCUGAAACUGUUGAAAGGGAACCGUAUCGUUUCCAGUGUUGUAUCCUAUGCAUAUUUCAUUCGCGGAGUAAUUUGCGGGUGCCCUGUGCAUGGGUGUGACGUCAGGGUCAGUUUGUAUGCUGCGGGAGAUGGUCAGUGAGGAGGUGCGUCACUUCGGUGAAAGUUAUAUCUCGCUGUCUAGUAGCCGUGGUUGAGACUGAGGUGCCUACAACAUGCCUUAAGGUUCCGUGUUGUCUCGUGUUGGUGACUGCUUUGAUAGCUUGCUAUGUCUGUGGUUUAUCAGUGCGAUUGAUGAUGCGGAUAACUUUUGCUGUUCGGGACUCUGGCGAAAUGGAGCGAUACGACCCGUCUGA